rnacentral:rRNA from 1 species
AGCAGCCGCGGUAAUUCCAGCUCCAAUAGCGUAUAUUAAAGUUGUUGCAGUUAAAAAGCUCGUAGUUGAAUUUCGGGACUAAUAUGUCGGUCGUACUUUGUACGUACUAGCAUUAUUGGUUUCUCCCUUCUGACGAACCACGAUGUCAUUAAUUUGGUGUCAUGGGAAAUCAGGACUGUUACUUUGAAAAAAUUAGAGUGUUUAAAGCAAGCUCGCGCUUGAAUACAUUAGCAUGGAAUAAUGAAAUAGGACGUUUGAUUCUAUUUUGUUGGUUUCUAGGAUCGACGUAAUGAUUAAUAGGGAUAGUUGGGGGCAUUAGUAUUCAAUUGUCAGAGGUGAAAUUCUUGGAUUUAUUGAAGACUAACUACUGCGAAAGCAUUUGCCAAGGAUGUUUUCAUUAAUCAAGAACGAAAGUUAGGGGAUCGAAGACGAUCAGAUACCGUCGUAGUCUUAACCAUAAACUAUGCCGACUAGGGAUCGGAUGAUGUUAAUUUUU